CCUACGGGAGGCAGCAGUGGGGAAUAUUGCACAAUGGGCGCAAGCCUGAUGCAGCCAUGCCGCGUGUGUGAAGAAGGCCUUCGGGUUGUAAAGCACUUUCAGCGGGGAGGAAGGCGGUGAGGUUAAUAACCUCAUCGAUUGACGUUACCCGCAGAAGAAGCACCGGCUAACUCCGUGCCAGCAGCCGCGGUAAUACGGAGGGUGCAAGCGUUAAUCGGAAUUACUGGGCGUAAAGCGCACGCAGGCGGUCUGUCAAGUCGGAUGUGAAAUCCCCGGGCUCAACCUGGGAACUGCAUUCGAAACUGGCAGGCUAGAGUCUUGUAGAGGGGGGUAGAAUUCCAGGUGUAGCGGUGAAAUGCGUAGAGAUCUGGAGGAAUACCGGUGGCGAAGGCGGCCCCCUGGACAAAGACUGACGCUCAGGUGCGAAAGCGUGGGGAGCAAACAGGAUUAGAUACCCGUAUAGUC
rnacentral:rRNA from 1 species